UCAUUACCGAAUUCCAAGGAGGAAAGCAGGGGGGAUAUUUCCAGUAGUAUUUCGGUAGUGCUGUUGCUGGCCUUCGGGCAUGUGCACGUCUCCGGAGUUGUAAUGGGUGAUUAUUCCCCUUGUUCCCUCUAAUACCUCUUGAACACCUGUGUGCACCUGUUGUAGGUCUCGUCACUGGGACCUAUGUAUUCCACAUUAAACUCGCAUGUAUACAGAACGCUGUCUAGUCGUGUCGUCCGGCCCCGAGGGUCGGCGACCGAAAAAUGAUAAUAUAAUAUAACUUUCAGCAACGGAUCUCUUGGCUCUCGCAUCGAUGAAGAACGCAGCGAAUCGCGAUAAGUAAUGUGAAUUGCAGAUUUUCCGUGAAUCAUCGAAUCUUUGAACGCACCUUGCGCUCCUCGGUAUUCCGAGGAGCAUGCCUGUUUGAGUGUCAUCGAAAUCUCAAAUCCUAGCUUUGCUUUGUCGGAGCUCGGUUUUGGACUUUGGGAGUCUGCGGGCGACCCUUUUGCUAAGGGAUGUCGGCUCUCCUCAAAUGCAUUAGCGGUGGGCGCGAGCCUUUGCACGGCACGGCCUGUUCGACGUCGUAGUGAUCGUCGCGGGCUGGAAGUGCUUGGGUCGAUAUGUCUCAUGCUUCUAACUAUGCACUAGCUACUAGUAAUUCUAGGAACUAGUGAAUUAAGGCUUGACCUC
rnacentral:misc_RNA from 1 species